rfam:Picea glauca, whole genome shotgun sequence.
CCGACCUUAGCUCAGUUGGUAGAGCGGAGGACUGUAGUGGGAUAGAAAGUCCUUUCGUAAUCCUUAGGUCGCUGGUUCGAAUCCGGCAGGUCGGA